UACGUAGGGGGCGAGCGUUGUCCGGAAUCAUUGGGCGUAGAGCGCGUGUAGGCGGCCCGGUAAGUCCGCUGUGAAAGUCCAGGGCUCAACCCUGGGAUGCCGGUGGAUACUGUCGGGCUCGAGUCCGGAAGAGGCGAGUGGAAUUCCUGGUGUAGCGGUGAAAUGCGCAGAUAUCAGGAGGAACACCGGUGGCGAAGGCGGGUCUCUGGGCCGAUACUGACGCUGAGGAACGAAAGCUAGGGGAGCAAACAGG
rnacentral:rRNA from 1 species